rnacentral:rRNA from 1 species
ACGAGACCUUAACCUACUAAAUAGUGGUGCUAGCAUUUGCUGGUUAUCCACUUCUUAGAGGGACUAUCGGUUUCAAGCCGAUGGAAGUUUGAGGCAAUAACNNGUCUGUGAUGCCNUUAGACGUUCUGGGCNCACGCGCGCUACACUGACGGAGCCAGCGAGUCUAACCUUGGCCGAGAGGUCUUGGUAAUCUUGUGAAACUCNNNNGUGCUGGGGAUAGAGCAUUGUAAUUAUUGCUCUUCAACGAGGAAUUCCUAGUAAGCGCAA